rnacentral:ncRNA from 2 species
UUCUUAUCAAGAGCAGGCGGAGGGAAAAGCCCGAUGAAGCCCGGCAACCGACUUAACCAAAGUUAAGCACGGUGCUAAAUCUUGCAGCGACAAGCUGAAAGAUGAGAA